GACAGAGGUGCCGAGCGUUAGGCGGAAUCACUGGGCUUAAAGCGUGUGUAGGCGGGCGGGCAAGUACCUUGUGAAAUCCCCCGGCUCAACCGGGGAACGGCUGGGUAUACUGGGUGCCUUGGGUCAUCUAGGGGCUGCCGGAACAAAUGGUGGAGCGGUGAAAUGCGUAGAUAUCAUUUGGAACGCCAACGGCGAAAGCAGGCAGCUGGGGAUGCACCGACGCUGAGACACGAAAGCCAGGGGAGCGAACGGG
rnacentral:rRNA from 1 species